GUCAGUUGAGACUUCCGAACUUGAGGGUAGAAGAGGAAAGUGGAAUUCCCGGUGUAGCGGUGAAAUGCGUAGAUAUCGGGAGGAACACCAGUGGCGAAGGCGGCUUUCUGGUCUACCCCUGACGUUGAGGAGCGAAAGCCAGGGGAGCAAACGGGAUUAGAUACCCCGGUAGUCCUGGCCCUAAACGAUGGAUACUAGGUGUAGAAGGUAUCGACCCCUUCUGUGCCGCAGUUAACACAUUAAGUAUCCCGCCUGGGGAGUACGGUCGCAAGGCUGAAACUCAAAGGAAUUGACGGGGGCCCGCACAAGCGGUGGAGCAUGUGGUUUAAUUCGACGCAACGCGAAGAACCUUACCGGGGCUUGACAUCUUUCUGACCGCCUGGGAAACCAGGUCUUCUUCCUUCGGGAAGACAGAAAGACAGGUGGUGCAUGGUUGUCGUCAGCUCGUGUCGUGAGAUGUUGGGUUAAGUCCCACAACGAGCGCAACCCUUGUCCUUAUUUGCCAGCCUGUUUACAGGUGCACUUUAAGGAGACUGCCGUAGAUAAUACGGAGGAAGGUGGGGAUGACGUCAAAUCCUCAUGCCCCUUACGUCCCGGGCUACACACGUGCUACAAUGGUCUGUACAAAGGGUGACCAAGGAGCGAUCCGGAGUCAAUCCCAAAAAGCAGGCCCCAGUUCGGAUUGGAGGCUGCAACUCGCCUCCAUGAAGUCGGAAUCGCUAGUAAUCGCGGAUCAGCAUGCCGCGGUGAAUCCGUUCCCGGGCCUUGUACACACCGCCCGUCACACCACGAAAGUUGGCGAUACCUGAAGUUACCAUACCAACCCUUCGGGGAGGAAGGUACCGAGGGUAUGGUCAGCGAUUGGGGUGAAGUCGUAACAAGGUAGCCGUAUCGGAAGGUGCGGCUGGAUCACCUCCUUUCUAAGGAGUAAGGUCGAUUAUUGGCUGGGUGCUAGAUUGGGGAUGUAGCUCAGUUGGGAGAGCGCCGCCUUUGCACGGCGGAGGUCAGCGGUUCAAGCCCGCUCAUCUCCACCAAAAUAGUAUAAAGAAGUAUAACGUAUUACGUAUAUCGUAUAACGUAAAAUUAAAAUACAGUAAUGAGUAAUAAGUGAUGAGCAAAGAAGUGGUUCUGAAUACCAAUAACUGGAAACUGAUAACUAUAAACUACUAAGAUAGUAUCGAGUCGUGAGUAUCGAGUCUGAAGAACUGCUACUUACAGGUUUCUUGUCUUGAAGUAACGACUAAUUAUGUUCUUUGAUAAUCGAAUAGAAAGGUAGCAAGAAAAAAGAUCUUCCAUUAUAGAGAGAUACGGUCAAGUUGAAAAGGGUAUACGGUGGAUGCCUUGGUACCAGUAGGCGAAGAAGGACGUGGUUAACUGCGAUAAGCCUCGGGGAGCCGUAAGCAGGCUGUGAUCCGGGGAUCUCCCAAUGGGGAAACCCACCCGAGCAAACCUCGGGUAUCCUGGUCUGAAUUCAUAGGACCAGGAGGCGACACGGGGGGAAUUGAAACAUCUUAGUACCCCCAGGAAGAGAAAGUAAUAACGAUUCCCUAAGUAGCGGCGAGCGAACGGGGAAGAGCCCAAACGCAGGAGGUGUGAUAGCCGGCAGGCGUUGCCUCUUGCGGGUUGUGGGGCCUGAUAGGUCUCUGCUGCCGCAGAGAUAGAGAGUUACCAAAUCAUUGGUUAGCCAAAGUGAGCUUGGAAAACUCCACCCAAGCGGGUGAUAGUCCCUUAGGCGAAAGCUAAUGAUCUCUCCUUCAGGUUCCCGAGUAGCACGGGUUAAGGGAAGUCCUGUGUGAAGCUGGGAGGACCACCUCCCAAGGCUAAAUACUAACUGGUGACCGAUAGUGCACUAGUACCGUGAGGGAAAGGUGAAAAGUACCCCGGGAGGGGAGUGAAAUAGUACCUGAAACCGUAUACCUACAAGCAGUGGAAGCCCGAUGCUCUCAACUUUAGUUGAGAGCUGGGUGACCGCGUGCCUUUUGUAGAAUGAGCCGGCGAGUUACGCUAACCAGCCAGGUUAAGCAGCUGCUGCUGCGGAGCCGUAGCGAAAGCGAGUCUGAAUAGGGCGUCUUAGUUGGUUGGCGUAGACCCGAAACCGGGUGAUCUAUCCAUGGCCAGGGUGAAGCCUGUCUAACCGCAGGUGGAGGCCCGCACCCACUAAUGUUGAAAAAUUAGGGGAUGAGCUGUGGAUAGGGGUGAAAGGCCAAUCAAACCCGGCGAUAGCUGGUUCUCCUCGAAAUAGCUUGAGGGCUAGCCUCAAACGUUGUCCCAGGGAGGUAGAGCACUGAAUGGACUAAGGGCCCUACCAGGUUACUGAACCCAAUCAAACUCCGAAUACCCUGGGUACUAGUUUGGGAGUCAGACUGCGGGGGAUAAGCUCCGUAGUCGAGAGGGAAACAACCCAGACCAUAAGCUAAGG
rnacentral:rRNA from 2 species